AAUUAAAUAUAAAUGUCAGCAGUGUUUCAAUUACUGCUUUUCAGCAGUGGUGCUUCAAUGUGAUGUCCUAAAUAAAAGUCUGCGUAACACAAAAUAAUGGCAACAAAACACGUCUUUCAAUAAACUAUGAUGGUUGCACGCGCACGCAGCGCGCCCAUGUGUAGUCAGCUUCAGUAACAAAUUACUCUUAUGAACCGGUUCUUUAAGAGUCAAAAACACAGCGCAGCCAAGUUCACUUACGAUUUUUCCCCUAUUUGUACGUGAAUCGGAAAAUUACUGCUUCCCGGCUAACUCAGAAGUUCUGUGAGAAAUGUAAUUUCCGACUAUGUCUGAGAUUCAUUUUCGUAAUAAGAUCAUUUCGUGGAUAAGGUCUUUUUGUCAUCCGACGAAACAAUAACAUGAAAUCAAUAAGGAGACUCCGAUCACAGAAAAUAACAGCGGAGUUAGGAUCUAGAAUCUUCUUUACAUGCUGAGAGGAAGAGAACGGUUUACUAAGCUCCUCACAGGAUGAUGGAGAGAUCCUGAAGAAGCGCACACUGUGGACAAUAAAUGAACCAUUAGCCAAUCACAGUCUCUGGUAUGGAUGAAAGGGGUCCCUUUGUUGGCUGAGAAUCUGAGUGGGGGGGUGCCUGGUUCAAAAAGGGUUGACAAACCCUGCCCUAGAUAAUGAAAGACACAAGACUCUCCGGCCAGGAUGACAGAAAAUCGAGGCUGUGGUUGUUGAAAUCCCUCCUGUGCCUUCAACUCUAAACACAGGGUCAGAUGUCAGCCUACAGCUAUGCACAAAACUACAGUAUAAAAAAAAAAAAAAAAAAAAAAAAAAAAAAGGCCAGAGAUGCUGCCUUUUUUAUGUCCCAGUGUCAAUCCAAUUAUGUCUCAAGCAAAACAAGUUCCCAGGUUACCUUUUGCUGCACCUGAAAGCUCCCGUUACCUGAAACAAAUUGCCUGAAGAAAUCUGCACCGCUUCUGGUCCUAAAAAUGCAAAGGAGAUGCAGAAGCUGGCACGUUAAAUGAACAAUACUCUCAUGUUUCAACUCCCUUUAAAAAAACAGCCUGCUUAAGACAUAAAUAAAUAAAUAAAAGAUGAGAAAGUAACUUUGUAGUCUCUGUGCACUUGUGGUUUGUGCUCUGGGCGAAAACCAGCACCGUUGCGCAAUAACUCCCCUGCACGAAAGCAUAUCGACACACUGCUACAAGAUGGAGUUUCACAGUGUGUUUUGAGUGAAUAUGUUAUGAAAAGAUGUUAGCGACACAAUUUUCAUCACAAUAGUGGGGUGCGAGAUGCUCAUUUAAAGACAUAAGAUUCACCAGGCUGUUUUUCUAUGAAACCUGCUGUGCCACAUCCAGCUUCAUGUCUCUUUAAUUUGCUGCUGGAGAGCAAACAUUACUCUUUUGUUAUGUGAAAUGCACAGCGAUAUCUUACAUAUACAUGAGACCACUGAACGCUUCUUAAAGAGAGAUAAAACAUAUUUACACAUCAUGUUGUAUGACUGAAUUAGUGAAUACGUUAGGAUAAAAUGUUAAAAGCAUAAGUUGGAGAGAAGAAAACCCUCAGGUGAACUCUUAUAGAGGAGGUCUGCAUGCUAGAUGUACAUAUACGAUGGAAAGCUGGCCGGGGAGCCCAUCCUAAUGCAGCUGGAAUGACAGAGGAGAGAGCAUCCCUUGCUUCCUUUUCCCCUCUUUUCUUUUCUCUAUCUGUGCCAUUAGAGAGCUCAUUAUAGAGUAUGCAGAACUCAGGAGGAACAAGUGAGUGAGAAUUGUGGGAUUUCUGUACAGCUGUAAGCUACACUGCCAUUCUCUCAUUACAGGCAGUUACAGACACUCUAUUGAUUGCCAGCUUCCCAACUAUUCCAAAUCAGUUUUGGGAUUUUGCUUACUUGCGACUUGUAGAGACUAGUCAUUAAUCCAAAGAUCUGAUUGCAGAUCAGGUUUUAUAGAUGGAGCCACUAAUGACUUCAUAAAUGGAUCUCAGAUGGAUGGGGAACUUCGAAAAACUCCAGCUUAAUCACUUUUAGCCCUGAUGCGCUAAUAAAGAUUUCAAAUCCCCAUCCACUUCUGGAAAUGCUUUGAAAGAAGACAGGCUUAUAAUGCUAGACCGGUUCAAAAGGUAACCUUGUGCACAUCACCUAUUGCAGCAAGACCUGCAGAACAAUGCGGAGCUCAGCUGAAUAACAAAUUUCUCAAAAAAAAAAAAAAAAAAAAAAGCAUGGAAGAAGACAUGAAAUAUAUAAAUAACAUAGCCAGGUUCACUCCAAGUUCAGCGGAGGAAGGCCAGCAGUAAGACAGGAGAGCAGGAAGAGAGAAAGAAGAAGGCAAAACAGGGAAAACUUUUCUCUUUCCCCUCGCUCGAGCCGUGCCCCCUGCUCAUAGGUGUUGCUAAAAUGAUUAGCUGCCAGCAAUCAGCCUGUCGCCGAAUCAGCUUUGAACUGGUCAGGGUCGACUUAUCACAUGACCGGCAGCCGUUUGCAGCGGUGGGCUGAGACACGCUGUCAGGUGAGAGAUGCGUUUUUUCUUGCAUAAUUCUCCAGAUGGGAGCGAUGAGUUCACAGUCCGCUUUAGCAAGCACCAAAUUGGGGGGGGAUUGCUGACAUAUAAUCGUUUUAGGAGGGCGAGAGGCUUGGUAUGGAUUCUGUAGCGUAGGCAAGCGCACAAGCACACGGAGUGAAUGACGGAGGGUAGACAGAAGGAGGUCAAUAACAGAGGCUGGGCUUAGCUUCCCGUUUUCAAUGCUCACCUCACCCAGGGUUCAUCGCCUGUAGCAGCAGGGUAUAUGUGUGUGGGUGCGGGUGUGUGCUUGUAUGCACCAUACACCAUCCCAAUGACACAUACGUAUCUCCCGGGUCUCCUUUCCAACUACAAAAUCAGUGGAAUAUGAACAGAUGAAAGUGUUUUUCCCCUCUCUGUUUUUUUUUUUUUAUCACAUCACCUUUUCCUGUGGUUUAACACAUCCGCGGCCCACCAACAACCUCUCCCAGUGGAAGUGCUGAACUGAGAGAUGACCCCAGUCAUCAGACCCAGUCUGGGCUGAUUUGUGGGUAUAUGCUCUCUCUCCUCCUGAUACAAAGUUUCAUCACCUCACUGCUUUUGUCUGUCUGCUUUUGCUCAGACAUGAUUCAAUAUAUAAUACCAUACAUAAUUGAUUAAUUCAUAACUUAAAAACAAAAUAUUUAUUUAAUUAAAUUUAUUAAUUGAUACUUUAAAAGCAAUUCUGAUUAAGGUCAUUGUUAGGGUUAUGUUAGUUUUUGUUUUCGUUCUUGUGUUUAAUUUCAGUUUGAUCUUAUUUACUCUCUGUUGGUUGUCCCUCGAACCGACUAAAGAAAUGAACUGCCCUUUGCAGAAAGACUGAACUUUGAAGAAGUUUGCAGUGGAGAUCCUGGAUUUAUACCCUGAGGCGUGCUGGGAUGAUGAGGCUCUUAAGUACAUCUUUUAGAGUGGGAUGGACAAUAUCUUAGGCUUGAUGCUGCUUGUGGAGGAGAAUCUGAGGAGGACUUCAUCAGCUAUGCCCUGUGGGUGUGUGGAUCCUCCUUCACAGUGGGAGUCGUCGAGGAAGACACCAACAACUCCAACUCCCCAGAGACAAUCACAGGCAACCAUCUCCCUGCCCGCUUCAUACCAGAAGCCUCAUCUUCCCAGCCCAGAGAGACCAGCUGUUACUCCAGUCUUGAGUGCCAUAUCAUCCUUCAGAAAUCAUUCUAAU